rnacentral:rRNA from 1 species
AUUGAACGCUGGCGGCAGGCCUAACACAUGCAAGUCGGGCGAGCGGCGGACGGGUGAGUAAUGUCUGGGGAUCUGCCUGAUGGCGGGGGAUAACUACUGUAAACGGUAGCUAAUACCGCAUACCAUAGGAUGAGCCCCCGUGGGAUUAGGUAGUUGGUGAGGUAACGGCUCACCAAGCCGACGAUCUCUAGCUGGUCUGCGAGGAUGACCAGCCACACUGGGACUGCGACACGGCCCAGACGCCUACGGGAGGAAGCAGUGGGGAAUAUUGCACAAUGGGGGCAAGCCUGACGCAGCCAUGCCGCGUGAAGGAAGAAGGCCUUCGGGUUGGAAAGUGCUUUCGGUGGCGAGGCGGUAACUACAGAAGAAGCACCGGCGAACUCCGUGCCAGCAGCCGCGGUAAUAC